GCGGUUUGUCGCGUCUGGUGUGAAAACUCAAGGCUCAACCUUGAGCUUGCAUCGGGUACGGGCAGACUAGAGUGCGGUAGGGGUGACUGGAAUUCCUGGUGUAGCGGUGGAAUGCGCAGAUAUCAGGAGGAACACCGAUGGCGAAGGCAGGUCACUGGGCCGCAACUGACGCUGAGGAGCGAAAGCAUGGGGAGCGAACAGGAUUAGAUACCCUGGUAGUCCAUGCCGUAAACGUUGGGCACUAGGUGUGGGGCUCAUUCCACGAGUUCCGUGCCGCAGCAAACGCAUUAAGUGCCCCGCCUGGGGAGUACGGCCGCAAGGCUAAAACUCAAAGGAAUUGACGGGGGCCCGCACAAGCGGCGGAGCAUGCGGAUUAAUUCGAUGCAACGCGAAGAACCUUACCAAGGCUUGACAUACACCGGAAACUUCCAGAGAUGGUUGCCCCGCAAGGUCGGUGUACAGGUGGUGCAUGGUUGUCGUCAGCUCGUGUCGUGAGAUGUUGGGUUAAGUCCCGCAACGAGCGCAACCCUCGUCUUAUGUUGCCAGCACGUUAUGGUGGGGACUCAUAAGAGACUGCCGGGGUCAACUCGGAGGAAGGUGGGGAUGACGUCAAAUCAUCAUGCCCCUUAUGUCUUGGGCUUCACGCAUGCUACAAUGGCCGGUACAAAGGGCUGCGAUACCGCGAGGUGGAGCGAAUCCCAAAAAGCCGGUCUCAGUUCGGAUUGGGGUCUGCAACUCGACCCCAUGAAGUCGGAGUCGCUAGUAAUCGCAGAUCAGCAACGCUGCGGUGAAUACGUUCCCGGGCCUUGUACACACCGCCCGUCAAGUCACGAAAGUCGGUAACA
rnacentral:rRNA from 1 species